AUGCAGGAGUUCUAAGGC
rnacentral:misc_RNA from 1 species